rnacentral:snoRNA from 23 species
AUUGCACAACUUAAGUUUGUCGAGGAUCAAUUUUUUGAACUGAAUCUUGCUCUUUUCAAGUGCUUGAAACCCUCGAUGAAUGUGUCAAUGUGCAAAGAUAAACUAUUCUCUUUUGACCAGUGAUUUGAUAUUUGCCUUGGAGAAUAAUAUUUUCCCUUUCCUGUAAUUAACUUUUGUUCUAAAGGUUAUUUGGAGAGAAUAGGCAUGAUUGAAGUUGCGACUUUUUUUUGUUUUUUGCUUUUGCAUGGUACUUGAUCCAUGCACUUCUCAUUUUAUUGGACUUUCAAGAUUGGUUUCCCUCGUGUUUUAAUUUUUGUUAAAUUUUUCCCUCUACUUUUAAUAUGUCCUAUAUUAAUACCGGUUAUGUUGUACGUGUUUCAUUGCUGAUCUUUUACUAGACUCGUCUGAGUUCUUCGUUCAAGUUUGGUUGAUUUCGGCUUGAGGUACAUGACAUGGUCGGCAUGUGGAGGAAAUGAUGGAAAGUUACAUGGAUUUUGGGAGAUCAUAGAAGAGAAAAUAUUUGAGACAGUUUUGUACGAAAAGAAGCUAUAAACAUGACUCAG